rnacentral:rRNA from 1 species
CCUACGGGUGGCAGCAGUGGGGAAUAUUGGGCAAUGGACGCAAGUCUGACCCAGCAACGCCGCGUGAAGGAAGAAGGCUUUCGGGUUGUAAACUUCUUUUAACGGGGAAGAGAAGAACACUGUACGCGUUGAAUAAGCCACGGCUCACUACGUGCCAGCAGCCGCGGUAAUACGUGGGUGGCAAGCGUUGCCCGGAUUUACUGGGUGUAAAGGGCGUGCAGCCGGAGAGACAAGUCAGAUGUGAAAUCCACGGGCGCAACCCGUGAACUGCAUUUGAAACUGUUUCCCUUGAGUGUCGGAGAGGUAAGCGGAAUUCCUUGUGUAGCGGUGAAAUGCGUAGAUAUAAGGAAGAACACCAGUGGCGAAGGCGGAUUACUGGACGAUAACUGACGGUGAGGCGCGAAAGCGUGGGGAGCAAACAGGAUUAGAUACCCGGGUAGUC